CUCCGGGCGGUACCAGUAACCAGUUGGCUUGCUCGAUAUUCGAUUCCUACUGGUUUUAUCAAUAACUGAGCUGCUAGUAAAUUGCUCGUUCUUGCCUUUUGCACUCUACGUUUAACACCUACGUAAAGAUCAUGUAAUAACAUCUUGAAGUGGCGCAUCGCCAACCCAGUUCGAGACGGUUAUGCCGGCGCUAAAAUACCAUUACCUGGGUGGGGCGGCACGACGGGCACAGGGCAGUGGGCUGUGCCACCCUUCCUAACAUCCCGGAACAACAGGCAGCUGUCACUGUUCCAGUUGGCGCAGCACUUUUUCAUUGGAAGUCGAUCCGUUACGGCCUCCUCCAGUCUCUGCGCCAGCCAGAUUAAACCGGCACUGACGCCUGCGACCUGCCGAUCUCGAACAACCAGCUUCACCCGUCCGCCGCCCGGAUGCAUGUUGGCCAGAAUGAGAUUAUCAUUGUCCGAAUAGCAGCACUGCUGUUGAUACUGGCGCGAGACAGUCGGGGCAUUAACGCAGAGAAUUGAGCCGGGAUUUUCAGCACAAUGGCUGAUGGGCCACAACGAAGUGGCCGCUGUGUGAAUACGGUUGCAUGCGCUGCUGCUGGUUCGUGGGUCCUCUGCGGAGAAACGGGCGCGGUCCAAACGGGCUUGGUGGAUGUUUGCCGGGCAGGCUAGGAAGUCGGCGCAGUCAGAGGAGUCGUAUCUGCAUAAGGAAAUCAUCCGCCCAGCAUCCGCAAGAAUCAUUGGUAACGAUACACUGCAUUAUGUUGAAAGCCAGUGCAUUAACUGCAGGUCGACCAAAUAACGGCUGCAGUGGUCGGCGAACGGAAUACGACAGAACCUGUCCAGCUAGAUUAAUGGCAUCCGGCAAGCCGUUAUUGGACCGCGGGGUUAGCCGCUGAAGAAAAUCUAUAUCGAAAAGCGGUGUCCAGAGGGAUACCGGCAGCUGGUGAUUACCCUGCAUAGUGCCGGUCCCAUUAAUUGUAACAGUGCGGAUGGUGUCUUUCAUAAUGCGAAGAGACCCGCGCAGGAAAGUGUAUUGUUCGUUAGGGAAGUCUGGUUGAUGGAGGUCGAUGAUCGUUUGCAAAGCGAUGUCCAUUCGUCCUGUAUUGAUGGCUGACGGGACAAGGGGAACCAGGAUUGUGCGCACAUGCUGGGUGAUGUCAGAACCACUGAAAUUCAUUAAUCACUCAAAAAAAUGUUUGCAGACACUGUUGCUUGAUUGCAGAAUGAAGCACUGAACGCUUUCUUACAAAACAGUUAGUUGUAUUUACUAGAUACAUAACGCAUUCAAUUCACACUUGAU